AAUAAAAUUUAUAUUAUAAAAAUAAUAAAAAAAUAUAAUAAUACUUUGAUUAAAAAAAUAAGAAUGAUUAAUUGUUAAAAAAAUAAAAAAAUCCAAAUAGAAGAAACAGGGAUCCGAGCAGUAUCGGUUAAGUGGCUUGUGCUUCAGCCUUUAUCUUUUAACACUCCACAAUUCACUCAUCUCUCUCGGUCGAAAAGAGAAAGAAGUCAAUGAAAUAGGGACUUCAAAGCUUCCUCAAAAGGGCAA
rnacentral:lncRNA from 1 species